rnacentral:tRNA from 1 species
UAGGGAGUGGUGUAAUAGGAAACACGGAGAGUUUUGAUCUCUCGAAUGUAGGUUCGAGUCCUAUCUUUCUAG